rnacentral:tRNA from 1 species
GCUGGAUUAGCUCAGACGGUAGAGCGAUUGAUUUGUAAUCAAUAGGUCGGGGGUUCGAUUCCGUCAUCCAGCUCCA